rnacentral:tRNA from 1 species
GAUAAUAUGUCUGAUUCUGGAUAAGGUGUCUGAUUCCAGAUCAGAAGAUUGAGGGUUCAAGUACCUUUGUGGUUU